AGUGAACGCUGGCGGUAGGCCUAACACAUGCAAGUCGAACGGCAGCACAGUAAGAGCUUGCUCUUACGGGUGGCGAGUGGCGGACGGGUGAGGAAUACAUCGGAAUCUACUUUUUCGUGGGGGAUAACGUAGGGAAACUUACGCUAAUACCGCAUACGACCUACGGGUGAAAGCAGGGGAUCUUCGGACCUUGCGCGAUUGAAUGAGCCGAUGUCGGAUUAGCUAGUUGGCGGGGUAAAGGCCCACCAAGGCGACGAUCCGUAGCUGGUCUGAGAGGAUGAUCAGCCACACUGGAACUGAGACACGGUCCAGGCGCCUACGGGAGGCACCAGUGGGGAAUAGUGGACAAUGGUCGCAAGCCUGAUCCAGCCAUCCCGCGUGGGUGCAGAAGGCCUUCGGGUUGUAAAGCCGUUUUGUUGGGAAAGAAAAGCAGCAGGCUAAUACCCCGCUGUUCUGACGGUACCCAAAGAAUAAGCACCGGCUAACUUCGUG
rnacentral:rRNA from 1 species